GCUAUCAUCUAUCUAAUUGGACUUAUAAUGCUAUGAUAAAUGGGCUUUGUAAGGAGGACUUGUUUGGUGAAGCACUUGCCUUGUUAUCAAGAAUGGAAGACAGUGGUUGCAUUCCUAAUGUUGUAAAUUAUGAAACAAUUGUCAAUUAUCUUUUUCAAAAAGGUGAGACAAAUAAGGCAGAGAACCUUCUACGUGAAAUGAUUGCUAAAGGUUACUAUAAGAGUAAAACUUGGUAACAUACUUUCUAGUUAUACAUUUUUUUUUUCAGCAUAUAAUCACUCUUGUUAAUUUUAGAGUGGACGGAAAAUGGUGCAUCUUCCUCUGUGAAGAUAGAGGGGAGAGUAACUUCUCUAGUUAAGUGAAUUGUGGACUUUAUGCUGGCAGUAAUAAGUACCUCAUGAAAUUCAAUUCUUCAUAUUAUUUCUAUAUUUCAUAUUCUUGAUGGCAUACACCAAAAUGUGGAAAAUUUUUAUUCUGCUUUUUCUGUUUUUCAGCACUUGUGUUACUUGCUAUUUAAAUUGUUUCAGUUCUGUUUAUUAGCUUUGAUUAUAAGCUUAUCCUGUUCCAAAAUGUUCUACUCUUCCUCUGACUCAUUCUAUUCCUCCUUCUGAAUGUUUCUCUUCUUAGAUUCCCUUUCAACUUGAUUUUUAUCUUUCCAUUGACAUAUGUAGGAGCAAGCGCCUCUGAGCUAUUACAUGUCCUAUUUGGCUAUUUUUUAGCAAAGCUGUUAAAAGGUUAUGUUACUACCCUUAGUACUCCCUAACUGUAUCUCAUCUUAUUUCAUCAAUAUCACUUCAUUAUCCAUUAAUUGAUACUUUUUUCAUCAAAUUAUAUUAGUAACCUUUACAUUACAUCGGAUUAUUAGCAUCAACAGUCACAUGAUGUGUUGUUCCCAAGUCAGGGCACCAAGUUUGGGAUACCAAAUUGUCAGGACCAGUGAGUAUUGUCUGAGCUUGUUGUGAGAUAAUGAACUAACAGUGGAGGUAAAUUAUGUGAUACAUUCAAAAAGUCCUUCUCUACACAUUCAAAUAGUAAGGCUAUUGUCAAAUAAUGAGGGAUACUUAUGAAGCACCGACACUGGCACAUUGACAUCGAUUAUAUUUUUGAAAAAAUGAAAAAGUGAUUGAACGCAACAAUAUAUGUCGAUGUUGUGUCGGUAUCUGACACUGACAUGUGUCAGAUACUAGACACGUCAUUAAUCUGAAGUGUCGGUGCUACCUACUAAAUACUAUCUUAUUACUUAAAUUUAUGGGUUUCUUUGUUUUUCGAGAAAAAAACAAUUUUAGGAUAUCGUUAGAGUUGAAUGAACUGUGAUUUUGAAGAAAAAUCUAAAGAAAAGGAUUGGAGACAAUGUAUUGCAUUGAUUUGGAUUACAAGAAAUAUGGCCUUGUCAAACAAUAUUGCUGAAGUAGCAUCAAGUUCUUUUCGCAGUCUAGUUGGUUCAAAAUGGAAUUCCUUCUAGGUGCAUGUUUCAAAAGUUAAGUGCUUGUAAGUCAUUUUGAAUUUUGAGUUCAAUGUAUGUAAAUCCAAACGAACAAUUUAACCUUCUAUGCUUUGUGGAUACUUCCUCUGUGUUUGUAUCUUUAAAUAGAAUAAGGCUCGACCGGAAAACAAAUUCUCAUUCAGUAAUUUUUUGUUGGUUUGGUUGAGUAAUUCGAGGUGGUUGUGUUAGUUUUCUUACAGUUAUUGGCUGAUUUUACAGAGAAAUUGUUAUUUACAA